rfam:Gossypium raimondii Chr11_contig_471, whole genome shotgun sequence.
AAUAGGAGAAUGACAAAUCAAAUUUUUUCUCUUGAUUUUCAACCUUUUUUCUCCUGAAAAAUUUAAAUUUAACUAAAAAUGCUAAAAAUUAGGAGAAAAUAUCUGAUUUGUCAUUCUCAUAUU